UACGAAGGGGGCUAGCGUUGUUCGGAAUCACUGGGCGUAAAGCGCACGUAGGCGGAUUUGUCAGUCAGGGGUGAAAUCCCGGAGCUCAACCUCGGAACUGCCUCUGAUACAGCAAGUCUUGAGUUCGAGAGAGGUGGGUGGAAUUCCUAGUGUAGAGGUGAAAUUCGUAGAUAUCAGGAGGAACACCGGUGGCGAAGGCGCACAUCUGGCCCGAUACUGACGCUGAGGCGCGAAAGCUAGGGGAGCAAACGGG
rnacentral:rRNA from 1 species